rnacentral:rRNA from 1 species
CCUACGGGAGGCAGCAGUGAGGAAUAUUUGUCAAUGGGCGCGAGCCUGAACCAGCCAAGUAGCGUGAAGGAUGACUGCCCUACGGGUUGUAAACUUCUUUUAUAAAGGAGUAAAGUGAGGAACGUGUGCCUUUUUGUAUGUACUUUAUGAAUAAGGAUCGGCUAACUCCGUGCCAGCAGCCGCGGUAAUACGGAGGAUCAGAUCGUUAUCCGGAUUUAUUGGGUUUAAAGGACGCGUAGAUGGGUUGUUAAGUCAGUUGGGAAAGUUUGCGGCUCAACCGUAAAAUUGCAAUUGAUACUGGCAGUCUUGAGUACAGUUGAGGUAGGCGGAAUUCGUGGUGUAGCGGUGAAAUGCUUAGAUAUCACGAAGAACUCCGAUUGCGAAGGCAGCUUACUAAACUGUCACUGACAUUGAUGCUCGAAAGUGUGGGGAGCAAAAAGGAUUAGAUACCCCUGUAGUC